AACAGCACAGAGAGGGACCCUUCUGUCUCCAUAGAAACUACAAAACGCUCUGGAUAAGUCACGCAAUGGACGAAGAUCAGUCUGCUGUGGAGACUAACGUUACAUUUGUUGUGGACGAGAUUACCACGCUUAUCAAACAAAGAAGUAUUUACUACUCCAAUGUGUAGACAUUAAGCUGUUGAAAGCACCAACACAACAAAAUCAACCAGUGGAUGUCAAACAUUGUAGAGUCAAGUCUGAGCCAGCUGACUAAAUUAGGAAAACCUUUUAAGUACAUAGGUAUGGUAACAG